rnacentral:rRNA from 1 species
GGGUGAGUAACACGUGGGUAACCUGCCUUGUAGAGGGGGAUAGCCUUCCGAAAGGAAGAUUAAUACCGCAUAACAUUAUUUAUUCGCAUGAAUGAGUAAUUAAAGGAGUAAUCCGCUACAAGAUGGACCCGCGGCGCAUUAGCUAGUUGGUGAGGUAACGGCUCACCAAGGCGACGAUGCGUAGCCGGCCUGAGAGGGUGAACGGCCACAUUGGAACUGAGACACGGUCCAGACUCCUACGGGAGGCAGCAGUGGGGAAUAUUGCACAAUGGGCGAAAGCCUGAUGCAGCAACGCCGCGUGAGUGAUGAAGGCCUUCGGGUUGUAAAGCUCUGUCUUCUGGGACGAUAAUGACGGUACCAGAGGAGGAAGCCACGGCUAACUACGUGCCAGCAGCCGCGGUAAUAC